rnacentral:tRNA from 1 species
GCCUCUCCGGUGCUUGGUGCGGCUGCUUCAAACCCACGGGGGGCAGCGG